rnacentral:rRNA from 1 species
UAGGGAAUCUUCCGCAAUGGGCGAAAGCCUGACGGAGCAACGCCGCGUGAGUGAUGAAGGUCUUCGGAUCGUAAAACUCUGUUAUCAGGGAAGAACAAACGUGUAAGUAACUGUGCACGUCUUGACGGUACCUGAUCAGAAAGCCACGGCUAACUACGUGCCAGCAGCCGCGGUAAUACGUAGGUGGCAAGCGUUAUCCGGAAUUAUUGGGCGUAAAGCGCGCGUAGGCGGUUUUUUAAGUCUGAUGUGAAAGCCCACGGCUCAACCGUGGAGGGUCAUUGGAAACUGGAAAACUUGAGUGCAGAAGAGGAAAGUGGAAUUCCAUGUGUAGCGGUGAAAUGCGCAGAGAUAUGGAGGAUCACCAGUGGCGAAGGCGACUUUCUGGUCUGUAACUGACGCUGAUGUGCGAAAGCGUGGGGAUCAAACAGG